AAUCUUACCAGAGCGCUGCAGGGCAAUAGACUCAUAGUUCAACCUUACCUGCUAGAUCACAGACCCUUAGUGAAUACAGCCUUUUUUUGAGAACUAAAGUGGCUCUGAAAAGAGCCUUUUGGGUAAAACCGAUCAAUCACGUCUCUGCUGCACUUUACUUGGAGCUGGUGUACUUGGUGACGGCCUUGGUGCCCUCCGACACAGCGUGUUUAGCCAACUCCCCGGGCAGCAGCAGACGCACGGCCGUCUGGAUCUCCCGGGAUGUGAUGGUCGAGCGCUUGUUGUAAUGCGCCAGACGGGAAGCCUCUCCUGCGAUGCGCUCGAAGAUGUCAUUCACGAAGGAAUUCAUGAUUCCCAUAGCCUUAGAUGAGAUGCCGGUGUCUGGGUGCACUUGCUUCAGCACCUUGUACACGUAGACAGAAUAGCUCUCCUUGCGGCUGCGCUUGCGCUUCUUGCCAUCUUUCUUCUGCACUUUCGUGACAGCUUUCUUGGAGCCCUUCUUUGGAGCAGGAGCGGACUUCGCUGGAUCCGGCAUUUUCGUCGGCGUUCAAAGAUACAACGUAAUAUGGUCGAAGCAACUACGGACUGUUGCAGCGCGGCUCGCUAUGCGGUACUUAUAGAGCUUGUAUGCAAAUGAAGGUUCAAAUGGUAUUCCAUUUUUAUUGGUUAAUUUACAGCAGUGUCAGCGUCAAGGAGGCGGAGCCUACUCGAACGGAUUCCGGUUGCGAGCCUUGGUGGUGCUUAGAGGAAAGUCUUUCUAGCCAAUCGCAGCCUUCCAUUUCAUGUUAGCCAGUUAAUAAGAGGGGCAGUUUUGCCUCAGCUGUUAUGUUCUUUUCACCCACAGAUCCUUAAAACACCAGGUUGAAAUAAGUUAACUUUCGCUCUUCUUAGGUAUCACGCUUGGAAUUUUGGGGUUAUUUCUCAGGUUCAGUUCUGAGAACCUAAUUAGAAAUCCUUUUCCGGAUUGGCCCAUACUUGUGAGCUCAAGAUCAGCUCUAGAUCGAACGCACCUGGGAUAAGGUUCAAUGUUAGUGACUACUUAUAAUUAUUAGGCCUGACACACUUUGCGUAUUUGAAACACUGGAAAUCAAUUGGAAAGCUGACACAGCUACUCUUAUCGACAAUGUAGGUGGCUCUGAAAAGAGCCUUUGUGGGGGAUGGAAGGGAGACGGGGCGCUCAAGCGCGCUCCCCACGGAUGCGGCGGGCCAACUGGAUGUCCUUGGGCAUGAUGGUGACGCGCUUGGCGUGGAUGGCGCACAGGUUCCUGCGCGAUCUCGCGGUGCCGGGCCGGUAGCGGUGCGGCUUCUUCACGCCGCCCGUGGCCGGGGCGCUCUUGCGGGCCGCCUUGGUGGCCAGCUGCUUGCGCGGGGCCUUGCCGCCGGUGGACUUGCGGGCGGUCUGCUUCGUACGGGCCAUACUUUCGCGACUUCGGCUUGCAGACGCCUAGUGGCCAUACUUAUAGACUUAUCUUCGUCUUGAUUGGGUCCAGAAAACAGGAGUUUUUGGACUUGCAGUCUGAUUGGGUAGAAUUCGAUCCUAUUUGCUGAGUUUCAAGAUGGUUACACUAUUCCUUCUCUCCUGAUACUUUUCCUUUCCUGUACUUAUGAACCACAGAGGGUUUUAAAAAGAUGGUGCCUUUCAGUUGAUGCAACUUCCCUUAAUGCAGUGUUUCUCACGCAGUGUGCUCUUCUAACAGGUUUCUUUGGAAACAAACUUGCCCUUUUCAUGUUCUGCAAUUCACUUUGUAGCGAGUGACCAGAUACUUUAAAUCUUCUCCGACAGUUAGCAUUUAUUUAACGUCAGGCAUUGUGCCAGCGGUUUGAACGCUUUGUACCACGGCUGAAGAAUGACAACACGAUGUAUAGUGAAAGGAACCAAAUGCAAACUUAAGUUUUACCUAGUUCGAAACCCUACCAAAGCCGAGUCUUACAUUUACCGCGCGCACUGACUAUCGUUAUGUAUGGCGCUCCCGCCUUUCCUUCCGUCUAGAGUGCGUUCCUUCCACCUCCCCUCUACACUAAAGGCCAAUUAAGUCCUGCAGAUGAAAUGUUUAUAUAACAGAAGGAUAAGACUAGAAGUAUUAGUACUGCCUUUCCAGUGGAGAACAGUUACUAGAUAAUUAAACCUGUCACCGAGAUGACAAGUCAACAAGUCAAAAUAACUUUCAAAGCAAAUGAACAUUUACUUAUUUGGUUUUUCUUUUUCUUUUCGAGACAGGGUUUCUCUGUGUAUCCCUGGCUGUCCUGGACCUGUAGACCAGGCUGGCCUCAAACUCAGGAACCCACUUGUCUCUGCCUUUCAAGUGCUGGGAUUACAGGCGUGUGCCACCACAGGAUUUCUGUAUGUAGCCUUGGGUUCCUGGAACUCUGUCUGUAGACCAGGCUGGCCUUGAACUCAGCUUCCUCUGUUUCUGCCUCCUGAGUGCUGGGAUUAAAGGUGUGUGCCACUACGGCCUGGUUCAAAGUAAAGCUUUUAAUAGCAUGUCUGGUUUUUUGGUUAAAAAAAAAAAAGCAUUGUAUACCAACCUUCUUAAAAUUCAAACCCAAAAGUAAAAAUAUUUAAAACUUCCCUUGAGGUGACAGAAUGUAUUUUCUUUAUGCUGAAAUCCAAGUAAAAUGAAAUUGAUUUUAAGGAGAUUCCAAAAUACUAAACACAGUUAGUAUUUAGAAGUUUGGCAUUUUAAUUAAUUUCUUUAAGAAUCCUUUAGGUGUAGAAGUAACCUCCAAAAUAUGGCAUAAAGUAUCGCUGAUGUGAACUGUUACUUCUUGCCUGUGGUCAUUUCUUAACAAUGUUUUAAGCAUAGUCAGCCAUGCUCCCUAUAAAAGUGGAUCUAGGGUGAGAUUGAUCAGUUGGUAGAGCCUCAAAACACAGAAACAUAUUCUUCAUAUUGCACAAUCAAACCAUUCAGUGCUUCCAUCAGAAGGGGACCUGCCCUGUGGGACUGGAUGGUGCCCACACCAGAUAUCAUGUAUCCUGGUAAGAUUUUCUUUGUAAUGUAUGCACUGGAGCAUAAUACAUGGGGUGUUCAUUUAAAAAUUUAAAAGUUUGAAAUUCUCAGACUUCAGACUCU
ensembl:antisense